AGCGGUACGCGAGCUGGGUUCAGACCGUCGUGAGACAGGUCGGUCUCUAUCCGGCGUGGGCGCAGGAAAGCUGCGGAGAUUUGCCCCUAGUACGAGAGGAUUGGGGCGGACGAACCCCUGGUGUACCAGUUAUCGCGCUAGCGGUACCGCUGGGUAGCUAAGUUCGGAACGGAUAAGCGCUGAAAGCAUAUAAGCGCGAAGCCCACUCCAAGAUGAGCUUUCCCCAUCAGGCUCCUGGUAGAACACCAGGUUGAUAGGCUGGAAGUGUAAGUGCAGUAAUGUAUUGAGCUCACCAGUACUAAUCGGCCGAUCGACUUGAC
rnacentral:rRNA from 1 species